AGCUCCAAUAGCGUAUAUUAACGUUGUUGCAGUUAAAAAGCUCGUAGUUGGAUUUCUGGUGGGCCGUCGUCUUCAUUUGCUUAUGGCAUCUCGAGUGGCACGGCCUCACCAUCCUUGUUGGAGAACUCGUCUGGCAUUCACUUGUCGGGCGUGGGAUCUGCAUCAUUUACUGUGAAAAAAUUAGAGUGUUUAAAGCAGGCGUUUCGCUUCUGAAUACAUUAGCAUGGAAUAAUAAGAAAGGACUUUGGUGCUAUUUUGUUGGUUUGCACACCGAGUAAUGAUUAACAGGGACAGUUGGGGGUAUUCGUAUUUAAUUGUCAGAGGUGAAAUUCUUGGAUUUAUGAAAGACGAACCACUGCGAAAGCAUUUACCAAGGAUGUUUUCAUUAAUCAAGAACGAA
rnacentral:rRNA from 1 species